ensembl:lncRNA
CCUUUCUGUCUGGGAGCUUCCAUGUGGACCGAGAGAGGAGGAGAGAGGGAGGAAACAGAGGAUGCAGACAGCAACACAGAGGAGACACAGAGCGCAGGAGGAGGGAAAGUAACUGAUGGAGAGAAAGUGAGAGAGAGAGAGAGAGAGAGAGAGAGAGAGAUGGAGUGAGCAGCUCUGAACAACACUGAGAGCUCGGGAGGGAAGAUGCCAGACAAAAUAUGAAGAAAGACCUGAGUCUAUUAAAAAUGGCAAGAAAAACCGAACAUAGAUUCUGAAACGGGAGACGUUGAAGGUAAAUUCAGGAUGUCUGGGGAUUUUUAAAGUCGUCUAGUCUUCCGGACGUUAAUCGUAGAUGCUGUGAUUCCCUUGGACGUUUGUCAGAUGGGAUUUCCUGCUCUCUUCUGGAACUAUCUGCAUGUUUUCUUGCCCUCCAACCUUUAAAGUUCUCCUGUUUUCCCUGUUACCCGAUCUUCAAGUCAUCAUUUUCAGUUGAAAGAGGACCAGUCUUCCAUUCUUGCAAAAACAACACCACCGUCAAGCAGCUUCAUCACUCAGCACAGAUAACAAGCCUGUACUAACUGGAUUCUCGAGGUUCCAGAAACAAUCUGAGCUCGGGAUAAACAAGCCUGUGACAGAACUGGACCAGGCCAACAAAAGGGUGCAGGGGGAGUGGACCGGGACCCAGGCCGCGUGGGGCUUCCAGCGGUUCUUUCAGGUCCUGCAGGGAUGGAUGCAACGGCAGAAUAGAAAACAGGACGGGACGUUUCUGCUGUCCCACUGGUACAAUGCGUGGCGUGGCGCCCUCUGGAGGUGGGGAUCACU